AUUGGAAUUAGAAUUAUUUGUAUAUAAACAAGGCUUUGCUAUUUGUGAAACGUUUAACACGGUUUCUCAAGAGAAAGGCCUGUACUGAUACGUACUUCGAGAAUCGAUCAGUUAACUUUAGACAAUAUUUAAACAAACAUUUGAUAACUGAAGUAAGGUGGAUAAUAAGAAUCGAUGUUUGAAGUGCAAUAAAACUGUCAGAUAUAGCAUGGUACAUACUUAUUACUACAGGAUAUGCAUGAGAUAUACAUGCUGAUGGAUUUUUACAUAAACUUAUACAUGUGCAAAGUUAUAUUUCAUAAAGACGGGAAGGGAAAAGAAGAGAUGAGUAAGACACAAAUUAGAUAUUCAUUGGAACAUGAUAUUCACUGGAUCUGAUGUUCAUUGGAACUUAUAGUAGAAUCCGGAUUAUACCAAUUUGAAAAAAGUUGAUUUAGUUCGCACGUGCCCACAUGCCGGAGAUAGUGAUGACACAUUCAGAAUCCUCCGUCACGUGCUCGACGGAUGUGACCAGUCAUAUUAAAGAAUUAACGGAAUAUAUGAACAGUGCAGAUAUUAUGCCAGACGGGUUCAGUGAUAGUGAUGAAAGUUUAGAAAACGAGGGCUCAGUCUACCAACCAAUCUCUAAACACACGCAAGACGUUAUAGAGACGGAAAAACGAUUGCUACACACACUAGGAUUAAAAAACGAAUUGUUUGAACGCCGCGUUCCUCUAAAAGUUUACAAAAAUAAGAAAGCUGAGGAGAAACAUGACAAACAAUUACACGUGCUGUCCGAAAUCUACUGGUACGACGUGUAGCAUAAAAAGUAAGUCUGAGAAUCAAAAUAGUGAUGAAAAGACAAAACAUGAAUCAGCGCAUAAUGACAAGACACACAAACAUGAUAACGAACAUCCUGAUAAAACACAUCAUCAUCAUAAUCAUCAUCACCAACAUUACCAUCAUGGGAAGUCACAUCAUCAUCAAACGCAACAUCAAAGUACUUCCCAUCACCAUGAAAGCUCUCAUGAAAAGCAUCAAAACAACCAUCAUCACCACCGUAAUCAUCACCAUUAUCAUCACCACGAGGGGUCACAUGGAAAAGAGCACUAUGGGAAGUCUGGUCAAGGAAAACACCAUAACGAAAAAGGCGAUCAGGAGAUAAGUGAUAAUUUUGACAAAGAAUCGACCCCUUUUGACGCAAGUUUCUUCGAAAUUAUUUCACCAGGACAGUCAGAAGAGUUUUUGCACAUGCCAUUAAUGUCUCCUCCACCGAAAGUAAUCUCAGAAUCUCCAACGGGGAGCAGCAGCAGCUAUUCCAGACCAAUGUCCUAUAAAUUCCUUCUUGCCGGAGAAACCAUAAAAUGCAAGUUUCGACGAGAAUAAGAACAACGACGCAAAAGCAACUUUACUGUCAGAACAAUUGAAAGAUACUCAGUCUGUCUGUCUUUGUUCGUCAUAUAACGCAUAUGAUGACGCUUUUACGGGCUGGGAGGUCCCGCAGAAAGGGAAUAAGACAAAAAAUUGCCGCCGGAAAAGAAAUAUGAAACCAGGAUCCUCAGACAUCACGUUCAGUAGACUUACACACACUAUGGGCAAAGACCCGGUGAUUUUUCAGCAUUACAACGACUAUUCUAAGUACAUAGAACGAUACCGUUUCUAUCAUACGGUAGGGAACGUCGGACGGCCGUUAUCCUACUCAAAGUAUGCGGAAAAGGGGGUGGAUUCUGACCCCUACUACAGUAAAAUGAAGUCAAAUUUAACAAGUGCCAUAGCAGGUCCCUUCUACGGGCUAGCUGCUCAACUUUUGGAAAAAAAGACUGGUUCUGCAUCGAGUAGAGGAAGUGCACAUGACAGGCCACGAUCUGAUGACGACAGUAUAGAAGAUAGUAGUGUUGAUGCCAGGCCAUACUCCAUGCGUGACAGAGGGCAAAGCUUUAAACCUCGCACCAGUGCGUGAGUGUACUGUUCCGAAUCUCAGACCUACGGAUAAAAUUGACAUUAUGCAGUUAAAUAAAUACUUAAAUCUCACCACGCCUCCGGUGCCUAGUAACUGUAUACAGCUUAAUUUCGAUGAAGUGAAAGCAAAACGUUACGGCAUUAGCCAACUGAGAGCAACAUGUUUCCUGCAUCAAGCCCUCGCCGUGGUGGGCGGACCUUGCGGUUAGGUAGUGCAGAAUUUGUAAAACCAGGAACGCCAGAUGCUAAUCAGAAAUGGACUGUAGAUAAGCGUGGUUUGCAUCGGUCCGCUGUUACUUCAGGUGGCUCCAUGCCCGGAAAUCUUUUCGUAGGUAGUACCGUGUGGUCACCUGUACCAUCGAAUACGGCACGUGCUAAAAGUGGCGGGAGAAUGUCACCAUAUGUGCAGUUUCAAAAGGAACAUUUACAAAACCCCUCUACACCGCCGCAGCAAGUAUCAGGUCAAAAUUUCAAGUCAUGUGAGCGUGUGACAGACUUGUCGGGUAAAGAUGGCAAAGAGCGCGGAAAAUUUAGUUACACACACGCGGCAAACUCUGAACGGCCGCCACCACCAGUACGCACAGCUACUGCAGUAGAUUUCCAAGAAACUUAUAUACCACGUGACAGAUCUCGUACAAUCACGUUAGAUGUAAAUCACCUUGGAAUAAGAGGUCAGCCAUAUAAACAAAGAGAACAAAUAGUGCUUUAUAAAAACAGACGAGCUCAGAUUGCAAGAUCAUAAAACAGAGUAUAAGUGCUUUAAAUAUUGUUGUUAUAUGAUUGACUAGAUAUGCAAAAAAAACAUAAUUUUAUAUUUUUUCAAAUAAAUAAACAAAAUCGUGUGCA
rnacentral:misc_RNA from 1 species